GGCUUGAAAAUGCCUAGACCAAAAGGAGGACACUGUCAUCAAGGAGGCCGCGGACAUGGACAUGGACAUGGUGGUGGUGGCCACAGCCACGGGCAUAAACAUGAACAUGGACUCAAGUGCAGAAAGAGGCACAAGCAAGGCCACAAGCAUAAGAAUUGUCACAAGAAGGGGAAGGACUGUCAUGGGGUAAGAUUUAAUUGUGCAAUCUAUAGUCAAACAAGCUGUAAAAGUUUUUGCUUUCCAACCGUAUCAGAAUUGACACAGGAAUACUCUUUUAUUAAUAACAUGUUGAAUAACAAGUUAUUUAUUUAAUGCUCCACAUUAAUACAGUUACAUACAUCCCACACUAGGAUGUCACUUAGAACAACCACAGUCUUACAUGCUGCCAUGGGGGAAGUGAUGGCUUUAGUACCUUCUCUUCAGUCAUCAUAUGGGAAGAGCACUUAUUCAUUUCUGUUCUCUUCUCUGCUCCAAAACUGAAGAUUUAUUUACAAGAGACAAAAACUCAUUCUAGCUGCUGUCAGCAGCUGAAUAACUCACUGCCAUUAUCACACUCUCAAAUUGAAAUAAUGAAGAAUAACAAAAUAAUAGAUUCAAAUCAAAAUCAGAUUGGUAGCUGUCUCCAGUGGAUUUAAUUGGUGAAAUAAUAAUGUCUGUCUCGUUUGUUCAACCCUCCUGUAGUCCUCCAGCAGCUCCUGCAGCAGCAGCAGCAGCAGCAGCAGCAGCAGCAGCGACUCUGACUAGAUGAAGAUUUCUGGAUGAAGCAGGUUGACAGCAGGAAACCUCUGUCGUCUUGGCUUAUACAAUCAUCUGUUUACUUUUGUCAGAAUGUUUGAAACACACAUUAGGCUUUCACAGGUUUUGAGUAUUAAGUUGUGAUGUAAUAAAGUUCACAGUAAAAACAUGGGCUUUUUACAACUGUAAGGAAUUAUUAUGUGAUAAUGAUGGCUUUCAAAUGUUUCUGAGUGUUUGUUUGCAGUAAAGUGAAACAGUCUGCGCAAAAUUUCAAAAUCAAAAGUUGAGUUUGUGAAGUGGAGUUGGGUGUGUUAUUGGUGUCAUUCUUAAUAAUACCACUGGAUGGUGGUAAAUAGUAUAUAAAUGGUUAUCUAAUCCUUAAAGUGACUGGAAUAAUGAGACAAAAAGGGCAAUACAAUUAGAAAGAUGCAAUGAAUCUACAGAUAUUAUUCUCAUAGUUUUACAUCCUAAUAGUUUGUCACCUUGUGGUGAAAAAAACUGUAGUUGCAGAGAAGAGCCCAAAAUCUCAAGUAUAUGUUUACACACGUCACACAAGUAUAAAUAAGUUUAAAAAAAGUAAAAAGUUUAAAGAGUACUAGCAGCUAUAUCUGACACACACACACACACACAGAUUUUUAAAAACAAUGUUUAAGAUUUACAAGAGAACAUCACGGUCCUCUACAAAUGAAAUGAGAAAAAAAAACAUACAACAAAAUAACAGAAAACCAGAAUAAAUCAGGUCACAAACAGAGUGAAAGAUGAGUUCUCCCUCCAUCACUGAACACACAGCCGUGGUGAAACACCACUGAUUCAAAAACUCUUGCAUGUCGUUCAUCAGAGAGUGGAACCUGAAGUCCACUCUCACUCUGGCUCUCACCAGAGACACGUACAUGUGUCAGCUCGUGACCGGACACAUUUCCUAUCUUGUCUUUCCUGCUUUUAUUAAUCGACAACUUGGCCUGACCAACCACAAAAUUCAGCAACUGCCACUUUGCAGCAUCUUGUUUUCUGUAGCCAGCAUCAAAAAUAAAUGCAGAGAGAGAGAGAGAGAACAUCUUCUGAAAUCUUCUUGUGAAACUUAACAUUUUUGAAAAUUUCAAUCAUGUAUCUAAAAACCAAAAGAGGAAAUGAUCAGAUCCACCCAUUUUGUCAGGCGUCCACAAAAUGGUAGGCAAGAACGCAAUAGCACAACAGAAAAGAAGAUGCAGAGCAGUUCAGGUGCAAAAACAGGGUUUAAUGGACAGGCAGAAGUCAAACCAGGUAGACAAUCGGCAAAGCAAACAAAUCCAGUAGGGCAGGCACAAAGGAAAGUCCAAAGUGGCAGGCCAAAACAGGUACAGCCAGAAUCAGAAUAACAAAAUGCUGGAGAGCUAGGAGACCCACAAGACAAUCUGGAAGAAAACUGAGAGAAGGGACCAGUAUAUAUACUCUGCAGAGCUGAUUAGGUGAUGA
ensembl:lncRNA